GCCGGAAUCAUCCAUUAUAUAAUGCCACAUGCAUGCAUGCAUGUGUUUUAUCAGAUAUAAAGUCACUCCUCGUGACAUAUUAUUAUGGCUGACAUGUUUCGCCACAAUUAAGGUUUAUGAAUUAUUAAUGAGUAUCUUAAUUAUAUUUCAAUAUUAAUAUUUCGGAUGAAUUAUUUGGGUGAUUUACUCCAUAGUCUUCAACGUGGACAAGUUUACAUGAAGUUCAACAUAGAACUUUCCGACGGUCGAGUUCGCAAAUCAUAUUUUGUGUCCCUAUAUGAUUGACUUUACUUACUUUUGACCAUGGUUCAGGCUUAUACACUGGUGGACAUGCAAUUUCAUUACAAUAAAUUAAACCAGGUUCUCCUGCAGUUGGUCGUGGCUCUGUGCAUUCUGUGUCAUUAACCACACAAUAAUGAUCGGUCGUCAAUCGUCUACAUUCAAUCUUCUUGCUUUGGGUUCCUUUUCCACAUGUCUUAGUGCAAGCUGUCAAGUGCGAGUGCCAU